AUUACACCGGAUUUAAUGUGUUUUCUCCUAACUCAUUAAGCGCUAAACGAUCGAAUGAUAAACAAAUCCUGUUAGGAAACCUAUAUAUUUGCACGUAUUCAUAACAAGAAAUCAAGUUGAUACCUGUGCCGUUAAAGUACUUACUAGAAUUCGGGAUUUGUUAUCAUCAUAACCGGAACAAUGUCGUCUGUCAGGAUAUUGGUUGUCCUCAUGGUUGUGUGCGUCCUCGCAGGGAGUUUAGUGCAGCAGGCAGAAGCGACCGACGGGUGCGCCUGUGCGUUGAACUGUAAGUGGAACGAAUGCCUGGUCGAACGUUGUGGCAGGUGGGGUUUGCGUAGAUUGUGUUGUCCUAAUAACAGCCCGGAAUGCCACAAAUGAAUCUUUGAUUCCGAGGCGGAUACAACAUACGAACACAAUCGCUGACUAUAUUUAUCUACAAAAAAGUAACAUUAUACAUGCAUGAGUUGUGAAAUGUUUUAUACGUAUGCUGUUCGUAUUAAGAAAUAAAUGAAUAAUGUAAUUUUAUUCAAUAUA